ACAAAAGGUCAACAGAUCAUAACGCGUUCCUGCUUGCAGGAUAAGCGUUAUGAUCUGGAUUGACCUGCACACACAUGAGGAUGGAGCGAUUUUCUGAAGAAAAUCAGCGGAAUCCGAAUGGGUGUAGAAUUGCGGGAGUUGCGAAGCAACGGAGCAAUUCGU
rnacentral:sRNA from 1 species